UAUGCGUGGAGUCGAGCGUACGGACGGGAGCUUGCUCCCUUAGGUCAGCGGCGGACGGGUGAGUAACACGUGGGUAACCUGCCUGUAAGACUGGGAUAACUCCGGGAAACCGGGGCUAAUACCGGAUGCUUGUUUGAACCGCAGGGUUCAAACAUAAAAGGUGGCUUUUCGCUACCACUUACAGAUGGACCCGCGGCGCAUUAGCUAGUUGGUGAGGUAACGGCUCACCAAGGCGACGAUGCGUAGCCGACCUGAGAGGGUGAUCGGCCACAUUGGGACUGAGACACGGCCCAAACUCCUACGGGAGGCAGCAGUAGGGAAUCUUCCGCAAUGGACGAAAGUCUGACGGAGCAACGCCGCGUGAGUGAAGAAGGCCUUCGGGUCGUAAAACUCUGUUGCCGGGGAAGAACAAGUAUCGUUCGAAUAGGGCGGUACCUUGACGGUACCUAACCAGAAAGCCACGGCUAACUACGUGCCAGCAGCCGCGGUAAUACGUAGGUGGCAAGCGUUGUCCGGAAUUAUUGGGCGUAAAGCGCGCGCAGGCGGUCUUUUAAGUCUGAUGUGAAAGCCCACGGCUCAACCGUGGAGGGUCAUUGGAAACUGGAAGACUUGAGUGCAGAAGAGGAGAGUGGAAUUCCACGUGUAGCGGUGAAAUGCGUAGAGAUGUGGAGGAACACCAGUGGCGAAGGCGACUCUCUGGUCUGUAACUGACGCUGAGGCGCGAAAGCGUGGGGAGCAAACAGGAUUAGAUACCCUGGUAGUCCACGCCGUAAACGAUGAGUGCUAGGUGUUGGGGGUUUCAAUACCCUCAGUGCCGCAGCUAACGCAAUAAGCACUCCGCCUGGGGAGU
rnacentral:rRNA from 1 species